rnacentral:rRNA from 1 species
UCAGACGAUGCGUCAUGCAUAUCAAUAAGCGGAGGAAAAGAAACUAACAAGGAUUCCCUCAGUAACGGCGAGUGAAGCGGGAAGAGCUCAAAUUUGAAAUCUUGAAAGGUCACCUUUCACGAAUUGUAGUUUAAAGAAGUGUUUUCUGUUACGAUCGUAAUAUAAGUUCUUUGGAAUAGGACAUCACAGAGGGUGAGAAUCCCGUCUAUGAUUGCGAUUUGUAGCUUUGUGAUACACUUUCAAAGAGUCGGGUUGUUUGGGAAUGCAGCCCAAAACGGGAGGUAAAUUUCAUUCUAAGGCUAAAUAUUGGCGAGAGACCGAUAGCGAACAAGUACCGUGAGGGAAAGAUGAAAAGAACUUUGAAAAGAGAGUUAAACUAGUACGUGAAAUUGUCAAAAGGGAAGCGUUUAACACCAGUGUUGUUUUCUGAAAAUCAACCUCUGUUAGCUUUAUGCAUGUUUGUUUAGACCUAAUCAGCUAUCUUGCGAUGUUCUAUUGUUUGCAGUGGUGCACUUUUCAGUUUACAGGUCAACAUCAGUUUUUUUUACCGUAAAAAAGUUAAAGAAAGGUAGCUCAUGGCUCCGGUCGUGAGUGUUAUAGUCUUUUUCCUAUGCGGUAGGAGAGACUGAGGUCUGCAGUGUAGGCUAUUUGGCUAGAUACUCAGGUGCUAUGUGAUACCAUUUCAUAAACAACUUGUUGAUUAUGUUUUGUCUAUUGCAUACUCGCUUGUACUAUCAUACCUACGCUUAGGAUGUUGACUGAUAUGUAGUCGA